AGAGUUUGAUCAUGGCUCAGGACGAACGCUGGCGGCGUGCUUAACACAUGCAAGUCGUGCGGAAAGGCCCCUUCGGGGGUACUCGAGCGGCGAACGGGUGAGUAACACGUGAGUGACCUACCCUCCACUCUGGGAUAACCCUCGGAAACGGGGGCUAAUACCGGAUAUGACCUGCUCCUGCAUGGGGGUGGGUGGAAAGGACUUGUCCGGUGGGGGAUGGGCUCGCGGCCUAUCAGCUAGUUGGUGGGGUAAUGGCCUACCAAGGCGUUGACGGGUAGCCGGCCUGAGAGGGUGACCGGCCACACUGGGACUGAGACACGGCCCAGACUCCUACGGGAGGCAGCAGUGGGGAAUAUUGCGCAAUGGGCGGAAGCCUGACGCAGCGACGCCGCGUGGGGGAUGAAGGCCUUCGGGUUGUAAACCCCUUUCGGCUCUGACGAAGCCCCUUUUUGGGGUGACGGUAGGAGCAGAAGAAGCGCCGGCCAACUACGUGCCAGCAGCCGCGGUAAGACGUAGGGCGCAAGCGUUGUCCGGAUUUAUUGGGCGUAAAGAGCUCGUAGGCGGCCUGUCGCGUCGAUCGUGAAAGUCCACGGCUCAACUGUGGGAUUGCGGUCGAUACGGGCAGGCUAGAGUGCGGCAGGGGAGACUGGAAUUCCUGGUGUAGCGGUGAAAUGCGCAGAUAUCAGGAGGAACACCGGUGGCGAAGGCGGGUCUCUGGGCCGUUACUGACGCUGANGAGCGAAAGCGUGGGGAGCGAACAGGAUUAGAUACCCUGGUAGUCCACGCUGUAAACGUUGGGCGCUAGGUGUGGGGACCCNUUCCCGGGUUUCUGUGCCGUAGCUAACGCAUUAAGCGCCCCGCCU
rnacentral:rRNA from 1 species